rnacentral:rRNA from 1 species
UAACGCCUGCCCUGUGGAACCCUAAACGGCCGCGGCACAAAACCGUGCAAAGGUAGCACAAUCACUUGUCCCUUAAAUGAGGACCCGUAUGAAUGGCAACAUGAGAGAAAUCCUGUCUCCUAGGGUCGGCCAAUGAAAUUGAUCUAUCAGUACAAAAGCUGAUAUGUUUAAGCAAGACAAAAAGACCCUAUGGAACUUUAACAAAUUGAUUAUACACAAUAAACACAAUAGUUUCAGUUGGGAUAACUUUAGAAAAAAUAAACCUCUAACACCAUCAUAGACCAACCAGUCUAUCACACCACAUAUGACCCAGUAACACUGACUAACGAAACAAGCUACCCUAGGGAUAACAGCGCCACCUUCUCAAAGAGUCCAUAUCAACAAGAAGAUCUACGACCUCGAUGUUGGAUCAGGGUACCCAGACGGUGCAGCAGCUGUCAACGGUUCGUUUGUUCAACGACUAACACCCU